AUUGAACGCUGGCGGCAGGCCUAACACAUGCAAGUCGAACGAGUUGCGGACGGUUGAGUAAUGUCUGGGAAACUGCCUGAUGGAGGGGGAUAACUACUGGAAACGGUAGCUAAUACCGCAUACCAUCGGAUGUGCCUAGAUGGGAUUAGCUAGUAGGUGGGGUAAAGGCUCACCUAGGCGACGAUCCCUAGCUGGUCUGAGAGGAUGACCAGCCACGCUGGAACGGAGACACGGUCCAGACUCCUACGAGAGGCGGCAGUGGGGAAUAUGGCACAAUGGGCGCAAGCCUGAUGCGGCCAUGCCGCGUGUAUGAAGAAGGCCUGCGGGUUGUAAAGUACUUUCAGCGGGGAUGCGUUACCCGCAGAAGAAGCACCGGCUAACUCCGUGCCAGCAGCCGCGGUAAUAC
rnacentral:rRNA from 1 species